GAACUGCUGAGGAGUCCCACAAUAGGAUGAAACGACCGUCCAGUGU
rnacentral:hammerhead_ribozyme from 1 species